UGUCAGGCUGUGUCCCUCUACAGGGAAGCGCUUUCUGUUGUCUGAAAGAAAAGAAAGUGCUUCCUUUUAGAGGGUUGCUGUUUAAGA
rnacentral:pre_miRNA from 13 species